GAUGAACGCUGGCGGCGUGCCUAAUGCAUGCAAGUCGAGCGAACUUUUGGAAGCUUGCUCCCGAGAGUUAGCGGCGGACGGGUGAGUAACACGUGGGUAACCUGCCUUGAAGACUGGGAUAACUUCGGGAAACCGGAGCUAAUACCGGAUAACAUUGAAGACCACAUUGCCUGCAGGUAAAAGUUUGCGUUUGGCUACCACUUGCAGAUGGACCCGCUGCGCAUUAGCUAGUUGGUGAGGUAACGGCUCACCGAGGCGACGAUGCGUAGCCGACCUGAGAGGGUGAUAGCCCACCCUGGGACUGAGACACGGCCCAGACUACUACGGGACGCCGCAGUCGGGAACCUUACGCAACGGAGGAGAGUAUGACGCAGUAACGCCGAGCGAGAGACGAAGGCCCUCGGGUCGUAAAGAUCUGUUGUUAGGGAAGAACAAGUAUCGUCAGAAUAGGGCGGUACUUUGACGGUACCUAAACAGAAAGCAACGGCUAACUACGUG
rnacentral:rRNA from 1 species